rnacentral:rRNA from 1 species
AUGGGCCUGCGUGCCGAACGACACGUAGAUCACCGACUCCGACCGCUCCGCCAUCUCGUCGAGCCAGGCGAGGCACCCCUCGGGGUCCUGCUCCCCCUCGCGCUCCGGCACGUCGCCGGCGGCGAGAAACAGAGGGCCCACCAGCCAGGCCCGCGCGUCCGGCUGGUAGAACGAUAUGAAGGCCGAUACGUAGUCCUCGUCCAACAUGGCGAAGCUGUUGACCAGGACGCCCCAGCUGCGCAUGUCGGACUCGCCGAUGUCAUCGAUAAGGAACCGAGUCACUGGGUCCUCGGCGUCACCGAUCUUGGCGAUCGUGUCCGGGACAUCCGCUGCCGUGAUCCUUACGUGUUCCGGCAUACGGGACAAGUGGAAACUGGCGCCGGACGGCGGCGGGCUCGUGAUGAGCGAUUUGCAGGCGGCCAUCGAGAAGCAGGACAUGCCGUGGAACACGAUGCGGCGGACGCCGGCGUCGGCCGCGACGCGGUGCGUGAACCCGAGGAAGAAGUCGGAGACGAGCACGAGUGGUGGGGCCGAGAGCGACGCCAUGAACUCCGCGAAGGGCUCCCGCAGGAGCGCCGUGGCGCGCAGGAACGUCGGGUACAGGUCCGGGCCAGGCAGGGUGUCCGUGGACUCCACGCCGGAUGGCAGCGGCGGCAGCGACGGGAACGGGAGAACGGCGAGCCGCACCGACGCCGGGAGGCGGCUGCGGGCGAAGGCGAGGUUGGCGGGCGUGACGACCACGGUGAUGCGGAGGUUCUUUUGGUGCUCGGUGAGCGCCGUGGCGAAGUGAAGCAGUGGGAGGGUGUGGCCCUUGGCCAUGAACGGAAACACGACCACGUGGUCGCGGCCGGCAUGGUUGCCCGCGCCGCUCGCGGCAUGGGUGGGCGCAGCAGCACCGUUGGUGGUGGUGGUGGUGAUGGCCAUGGCAGGGCGUUGCCGUGUAUGGUUUGCAAGUUGGGUUCUGACUUGUGA